rnacentral:rRNA from 1 species
CCUACGGGGGGCAGCAGUGGGGAAUAUUGCACAAUGGGGGAAACCCUGAUGCAGCGACGCCGCGUGAAGGACGAAGUAUUUCGGUACGUAAACUUCUAUCAGCAGGGAAGAAAAUGACGGUACCUGACCAAGAAGCCCCGGCUAACUACGUGCCAGCAGCCGCGGUAAUACGUAGGGGGCAAGCGUUAUCCGGAUUCACUGGGCGUAAAGGGAGCGCAGGCGGCACGGCAAGUCUGGUGUGAAAGCCCGGGGCCCAACCCCGGGACUGCAUUGGAAACUGCCGGGCUGGAGUGCCGGAGGGGUAA